rnacentral:rRNA from 1 species
AUUGAACGCUGGCGGCAGGCCUAACACAUGCAAGUCGAGCGGCAGCGGAAAGUAGCUUGCUACUUUGCCGGCGAGCGGCGGACGGGUGAGUAAUGUCUGGGAAACUGCCUGAUGGAGGGGGAUAACUACUGGAAACGGUAGCUAAUACCGCAUAACGUCGCAAGACCAAAGAGGGGGACCUUCGGGCCUCUUGCCAUCAGAUGUGCCCAGAUGGGAGUAGCUAGUAGGUGGGGUAACGGCUCACCUAGGCGACGAUCCCUAGCUGAUCUGAGAGGAUGACCAGCCACAUUGGAACUGAGACACGGACCAGACUCCUACGGGAGGCAGCAGUGGGGAACAUUGCACAAUGGGCGCAAGCCUGAUGCAGCCAUGCCGCGUGUAUGAAGAAGGCCUUCGGGUUGUAAAGUACUUUCAGCGGGGAGGAAGGGGUUGAGGUUAAUACCCUCAGCAAUUGACGUUAACCGCAGAAGAAGCACCGGCUAACUCCGUG